AUAAAAAAUAGAACUUCAUUAACAACGUAAAUCUUGAUUACAUUUGAUUCAUCAAGUUUAUUUUCUAAUUUGCUAUUGAUAAACAUUUAGCAUAAUAGUACAUGCCUCUCUCUAACUAAGAGCAAUGUUUUGUUGAACAUUCAUUCCAGCAGCUUCUCAUUAGCUCCUUAUCUAUAAGAAAAAAAUUGUUAAAUUUAGUCAUAAAUUUGACGUAUUAUGACAAACAUAGAUGGGAAUAACAAAUUAACUUAUUUUCAUAUGGAAGAUAUGAAAGGAAGUAUAUAUACCUUGUUUAAAUUUGGUGCAACGUUUUGCUGAACAAGCAAGCUUACAAUUGAUCAGUACCCGAGAAGAAGGAGGACGAGGAUGACAAAUUUUAUCAAGACAACGUGAAGUACAAUCAGGAUUGAAGAGACAUCCAGCAGCACAUUUUUCUGCACAUUCUAUACUAGUUUCGGCAUUACUAUUUGCUACAAAAAUCAUAAUAAGGAAAAAUAACAAUGUUAAAACCUUUGUGAAAUUCAUAAUUUGUAAUAUAUGUUG
rnacentral:lncRNA from 1 species